CUAAGCCGAAGUUGGAUGCUCAACCGACUGAGCCACCCAGGAGACCCUAGUGUCUCUACUCUCAACCAUGAGAAUAUACAGUCUCUCCAGGUAAGGUGGAUGGGAUUGAAAAAACAAUUGACAAGAAAAAAUGUUAUCAUUAUACAAUUUUGUGGUUAUGCAAAGAAUAUCUUUACCAUUUAUUAUCACAUAAACGUUGACUUUAAUUGUAUGAACACUGUGAUAUGAUUAGGUCGGCAAGAUGUCAGAUGGAAUGUUCAGUGGGUUAAGAUUUCAGACUACAUGAAACAAAAGAUAAUGUACAAUGAAUACAGUCAACAGAUCGGGAAAUAACAGCAUAAGAAUAUUAUUUGAAAAUAUGGAGGUAAUAAGGGAAAACUGCUAAAAUCAUUGAAAGUGUUUGGCUCUGGAGAGGGGAUUGAAAAGUAGGGUGUGGAGAAGGGAGAUGCUAUUUUUCAUUUUAUGUUUUGUCAUGUUUUUGACAUUAAAAAAACAAAAACCACUGUGCCUAUGUGAAUUUAGCAGAAAUAAAG